GCUCAGGAUGAACGCUGGCGGCGUGCUUAACACAUGCAAGUCGAGCGAAGCACCUUGACGGAUUUCUUCGGAUUGAAGCCUUGGUGACUGAGCGGCGGACGGGUGAGUAACGCGUGGGUAACCUGCCUCAUACAGGGGGAUAACAGUUGGAAACGGCUGCUAAUACCGCAUAAGCGCACAGUACCGCAUGGUACGGUGUGAAAAACUCCGGUGGUAUGAGAUGGACCCGCGUCUGAUUAGGUAGUUGGUGGGGUAACGGCCUACCAAGCCGACGAUCAGUAGCCGACCUGAGAGGGUGACCGGCCACAUUGGGACUGAGACACGGCCCAAACUCCUACGGGAGGCAGCAGUA
rnacentral:rRNA from 1 species